AUUGAACGCUGGCGGCAGGCCUAACACAUGCAAGUCGAGCGGAGCGGCGGACGGGUGAGUAAUGCCUAGGAAUCUGCCUGGUAGUGGGGGAUAACGUCCGGCAACGGGCGCUAAUACCGCAUACUUUAAGAUGAGCCUAGGUCGGAUUAGCUAGUUGGUGGGGUAAAGGCCGACCAAGGCGACGAUCCGUAACUGGUCUGAGAGGAUGAUCAGUCACACUUGAACGGAGACACGGUCCAGACUCCUACGGGAGGCAGCAGUGGCGAAUAUUGGACAAUGGGCGAAAGCAUGAUGCAGCCAUGCCGCGUGUGUGAAGAAGGUCUGCGGAGUGUAAAGAACUUGAAUUUGGGAGGCGUUACCAACAGAAUAAGCACCGGCUAACUUCGUGCCAGCAGCCGCGGUAAUUC
rnacentral:rRNA from 1 species